rnacentral:rRNA from 1 species
GGGGACCCGCAAGCGGUGGAGCAUGUGGUUUAAUUCGAAGCAACGCGAAGAACCUUACCAGGUCUUGACAUCCUCUGACCAUCCUAGAGAUAGGACCUUCCCCUUCGGGGGACAGAGUGACAGGUGGUGCAUGGUUGUCGUCAGCUCGUGUCGUGAGAUGUUGGGUUAAGUCCCGCAACGAGCGCAACCCUUGUCCUUAGUUGCCAGCAUUCAGUUGGGCACUCUAAGGAGACUGCCGGUGACAAACCGGAGGAAGGUGGGGAUGACGUCAAAUCAUCAUGCCCCUUAUGACCUGGGCUACACACGUGCUACAAUGGAUGGUACAACGGGUUGCGAAGCCGCGAGGUGUAGCUAAUCCCAUAAAACCAUUCUCAGUUCGGAUUGUAGGCUGCAACUCGCCUACAUGAAGCCGGAAUCGCUAGUAAUCGCGGAUCAGAAUGCCGCGGUGAAUACGUUCCCGGGUCUUGUACACACC